AGGGCUAUCACCAAAAGGUAAGGUAACGGACUUUGAUUCCGUCAUGUGUGGGUUCGAAUCCCACUAGCCCCG
rnacentral:tRNA from 1 species